rnacentral:rRNA from 1 species
GUUGAACGCUGGCGGCAGGCCUAACACAUGCAAGUCGAACGAGUGGCGGACGGGUGAGUAAUGUCUGGGAACCUGCCUGAUGGAGGGGGAUGACUACUGGAACCGGUAGCUAAUACCGCAUACCAUCAGAUGUGCCCAGGUGGGAUGAGCUUGUUGGUGGGGUACAGGCUCACCAAGGCGACGAUCCCUAGCUGGUCUGAGAGGAUGACCAGCCACACUGGAACUGAGACACGGCCCAGACUCCUACGGGAGGCAGCAGUGGGGAAUAUUGGACAAUGGGCGCAAGCCUGAUGGAGCAAUGCCGCGUGAAUGAAGAAGGCCUUCGGGUUGUAAAGCACUGUCAGCGGGGAGGCGUUACCUGCAGAAGAAGCACCGGCUAACUCCGUGCCAGCAGCCGCGGUAAUUC